ACUAAUGGAGCCUCUUAUCGGCCGCAAGUUCCGUCUCGGCCGGAAAAUCAGCAGUGGAUCGUUUGGAGAGAUCUACCUUGGUACUGAUAUUCAGACAAAGGAAGAGGUUGCAAUUAAGCUUGAAAAUGCGAAGACAAAACACGCACAGUUGCUUUAUGAAUCAAGGCUGUACAGAGUUCUACAGAGAGGAACUGGUAUUCCGAACAUGAGAUGGUUUGGAGUCGAGGGAGAUUAUAAUGUUCUAGUGAUGGAUUUGCUCGGACACAGUCUUGAAGACUUGUUCAAUCUUUGCAGUAGGAAAUUUUCUUUAAAGACCGUUCUUAUGCUUGCAGAUCAAAUGAUCAACCUUGUGGAGUUUGUGCAUUCUAAAUCCUUUUUACAUCGAGAUAUAAAGCCAGACAAUUUUCUCAUGGGCUUGGGAAGGCGCGCGAAACAGGUCUACAUCAUUGACUUCGGUCUGGCUAAGAAAUACAGAGACAAUAAAACCCACCAACAUGUUCCAUACAGAGAAAACAAAAGUUCGACUGCAACUCCAAGAUACGUAAGUCUGAACACUCACCAUGGCAUUGAACAAAGCCGGGGGGACGAUUUAGAAUCGCUUGGAUACAUCCUCAUGUACUUCCUAAGAGGAAGUAUUCCUUGGCAGGGAGUGAAAGUAGGAACUAAGGAGCAGAAGCAUGAAAAAAUUCAUGCAAGAAAGGUGGAAACCAUUGAGGUUCUGUGCCAGGGUUAUCCAACAGAGUUUGCAUCAUACUUCAACUACUGUCAUAAUCUAAGAUUUGAUGAUACGCCAGAUUAUGCUUAUUUGAAGAGAUUGUUCCGAGACCUCCUUAUUCGCAAAGGUUUUCAUAUGUUGCUUUGUAAUAUGCACCAUAGGAGAUUUUAGUUUACACUCCGUCAUUUCCUACAUCUUGAUAACCGAUAAUAGUAUCGUUCCUUUUAAUCGGGUCACAAGAUUCCAGUUGGAUUACGUUUUCGAUUGGACAAUUUUGGAGUACCAGCUGUUGCAUACUGCGGCUCCUCCUUCCCGAACUCUUGUCCCCUGUGCUGGAAGAAGCUCUAGACGGCCUCCUCUUGUUGCCAAUGCUCAACGCCAGUCAGGUGUGGAAGAAGAGAGACUACAUGGUUUGUCCCCGGUGGACCAUGAGUCUGCUCUCAAGGGUAUCG